CCUGCACUGUUGUUUUGAUUGAACUUAUUCAUUGCUGGUCAUUGCUUAUUUGUUGUUAAAUGUGUUGUUCUAGGAAAGAUAUAGAUGUUGAUAAGGGUGUUGGGGAAAAUUUACUGAUCACAUUAUAAUUUUGUUCUUGAUUAUGUUAUAAUCUUUUUUUAAAUACUUUUACGAUGGGUUAUAACUGCGUAAAAUAUGUUCUCUAUUUGGUUUUUGGGAUGAUUGUUAUGGGUAAAGAUAUCGACAAGAUCUGUGAUAUGAGAAGUAUUUCUUCUGAUUGUCCAAGAAAUGAAACGUGCACACCAGAGUCAAACGAAAUAGGAAGAUGUAAAUGUGUAGCUGGGCAGAACAGAAAUGGCAUAGGUGUGUGUACACCUGAUUCUGCUGUUACGACACCACCUCCUAAUGGUGUCACUGCUUCACCACGCGUCUUACCACCGAAUGACGAACAUGGCAGCACUAAUUCAGGUUCGAGUGUGGCGGCGGGAGUUCUGAUCCCCUUGGUGGUGAUAGCGUGUCUGGUGUCGGUGGUGUUCUUGGCGAGGCGGUACCGGUGGCCCCAGCGCAUCAGGCAGCUGCGGGCCCGUCACUACGACGAGAUGCAGAUAGGACACGACGAUGACGACGACCCACCGAUAGCGUGAAGCAGAGAGUCCGCUUUCAGGUGCUUCGUGGCUGUUGCUUUUUUUCGACCGUUAAGCGUAGAAAUGCCGCUGUACGUAUAACUUCAACUUUGAUAUCGAUGUUGCUUUCAGUUUAAAAAUUAACUGGUUGUGACAUGCAAAGAAUUCCAAAAAAAAAAAAAAAUUUAAGCAGUGAGUAAUUGAAAGCAAUGAAACAUUAUUUUAAGCCUGUAAUAGGUAAAGAGAAUGCAGCACAGUAACUUUCUUGCACAAAAAAUCCUGAUAUAAACUGAUAAUUGAUUGAACAUUAAAGUUUUGUUGUAUUGACUGUGCAUAGUUUACAGUCACUGAGACACAAUAUUUUUAAUAGAAAAUUUUCCUAGGUCCGUAAAUAAGAAUGUAAUUUACAACAUUUUACAUAAUUACGAUGUAGUUACAAUAGUUAAUUUUUUUUUCUUUCAGUAUAGUAUUGAGGCUUGUUGUAAAUUUAAGUUUCGCAAAAGUGUUAGUGACUUGUGAUUGGUGUAUAUACAUAUGAUUGCCUGUGCUGAUAAACCAAAGAUUUAAUUUUGAGUUGAUAAUUUUAUGUAAUGUUUUUUGCUUAGCUGAUGUUUGCUUGCUUUUUAUUGCGAAUGAAAUGUACCAUACACAAUCAUCCAAGCACUUACUAUAACAACACUACGAGGAAGCUAGUGGUUUACUUUCAUAAGUAAAUGCAUUUGAUUUUCUUAAACUUUCUCAUAGAUCAGCAAGUAUAAUGUAAUUUGUGUUUUAAAUUGAUUGAUAAAUUAAGGAUAAAGUCGAUACUGCUGCAUUAUAAUGGCAGUUAUGCUCUUUUGAAUAAGAUUCACAUUUUUUUAUGCAAGAGGAUUCGGGAUAGAUUUUUGUAAAAAAUUUUACUGAUUAAUAAUUUUAGUCUUUUAAACAUCAAAACGUAGUACAAAUACUUUCUUUUUUGCUAUAUUUAUUGUUGUAAAAAAAGCAAAACCUUGCAUGUGAAUUUUUAGUGAUUUUUCAGUUUUUAACGCAACAAAAUCACUAUGACAAAACUAAUAAUUUUAAAGUAUUAACUAAUGCAGAAUAAAUACUCUCAUAGUAAAGAGUUGGUUUUAGACAUGGUUUUUUUUAAACAUCCUGAGAACAUUUCAAUUUUGACUUCAGAGAUUUUGUAGCUAUUCCAAAUUUUAUUUAGCUAUGUCAUAUUUUAUCAAAUGAUAGAAAGCAGGCUUCAUGUUCGUACGCUGGGCAUUAGGGUGUUUUGUCAGUUGCAUAUCAAACUAGAAAUACAUAUUAGAAAACAUAGUUAUCUCUGCGUAAUGUUAUGUGAUUAAUUCGAGGCCACACAGAUAGUUAUGCUAUGUUCGUUGUGCCAGGUGGACACACAGGAUAGUCUAGUUUGCGAUGUCAGCCACACACAUAUUGUGGGAUUCAAGAGAUGAGUUCGAUGAUGAUAAUAUUCUGCUUGCUCUCAUAGUAUAUGUAAAUGUAAAAAUAAAUGGCUUCAUGAAGUUGAUAAAAAAAAAACCUUUGAGAAUUUCAUCAUUUGAUGAAGCAGUUGUGUGAGAACUAAGCCAAAUUUAUGGAUUAUUUCAGAAUAAAUGCAACUCAGUUUGAUAGCGUUCCCUUGAAAUCAAAUCCCAGGCAUAUCCUGCUUUCUAGUCUUCUAUCGAUUUAUUCCAUAAGCAUGGAUUUUUUCAUACUUUUUCAAUAAAUUUUUCCAUCGACAUACACAUUAAAAGCAAAUACAGUAGUACAGCAAGAUUCUGCGUGAAAACAUGUUUUUUUUUAUCUGCACAAGUUGGCGACGUUUUAGAAAAAUAGCCGAGGACCAAACACCUGGUGAUGUCGCCAACACAGCUUUGUGUGGCCGCUGACACCUGAGAUGCAGCUGACUAUAUUUUACUUGCGUAGCGAACAUAGCGAGCAUAGCGCUCUGGGUGGCCGUAGCUUUAGUCUCAUCACGUGAAACGUGCAUUAAUGAUGCAAUUGCUAUGCUCGAAUUCCACUGCUGCAUGGCAUUUUCAACUUCUUUAAAUAGAAUGUCCCCGUAUGUGAUUGUAAUUUUUUUGAGUAUAGGAAUUUGUUUUUCUUUUGUUUUCACACACAACUAAUUCUAGAAUCGCUCCAAUCAGAUGAGAUGUAUUCUCACCACUGCUGUCUGAAGCAUUCUAAAUCACUCAUAUUUGGGGUGCAAUCUAGCCCGUAUUUUCUUAUUUGCUCAAAUUCCAUGUUUUAUAAUAGUUAAUUUUAAAUGAAGACAAAUAAAAGAAUAAUUAUAACUUGUUAGUACAUAUUUAAACCAUUAAUAUUGUACCUAUUAAUGUACAGAUAAGAAAAAUCAGUUGCAUUAUUUGUGUAUUGAACAUAUGUAAUGAGAUUUAAGUACAUAAAGUUACCAUUCUUUUCAGAAAUUAUAUUGUUUUCUCUGAUUGUGUAUUUGAAUUUUGCAGUUAGCACUGUAAUUUGCAUCUAGAAUUGUCUAGUUGUUGCAGUGAUUUAAAAUUUUUUAUAGCAUUCCACUGUCUUGCCAUUGUUUUAUACAGGAGUGACAAGUUAAGUUCAGAAAAUUGUGUAUUUCUAUAAUCAUGGUUAGCUUAAUUAAAGCUCGAAUUGUCAUGCCAAAUGAAUUUGGAUGCACUGUGUGAGAAAGACUGUUACAUUUGUUAGCUGUUACAUUCAUUAUUAAAUGUAUAAUUUUUCCUUGGUAAUACUUUUGACAUUGGAGUGGGAUGAUUAUGAGCAGUUCUUUGUGUUAAAUGUUGCUGUCGUUAUGUUAUAAAUGUUAUAUUUGUACAGUUGUUUUAGAAACUUACAUGUGGUGGUGUUUUCACCAAGUUUCUUUACCAUUUUUCGAAUGGUUGAUGAGAUUGAAGCAAGUAUGAAGCAGUAUGUUUUGUUUCAUUUCAUUAAUAAAUUUACAGCAGUUGGUAAUGCUAUUGGCUUUGAAAACAUUAGUGGUUGUCAAUGCCUAUGUGUAUAAAUUUCAUGCAAACUAAGAGGGCCAGAGGGGGCAAAUAAUUUUGUCAGGUCCCCUCCUUAUUACUUAAUGUGCAACUUUUCAAACACCACAAUUAAAAAAAAAAAAAAAUCCAAAACCCAACCGGGUAGGUACUCUUCUUGGUGCUAAGACCCAGGAAAAAUCACCCCCCCCCCCCCUCUCUCCCCAUAUCUACUCAGUGUGUUUCAAGAUCUUUCUUAUUUGUUCUUUAAAUGAUUAAUGGAAUGGGGAAUUAUGAUUUAGCGCAGUUUUUUGGACAUACACCAUUGCAGUUUUGCACUGUUUGUCAUGGGAAAAUUCCAAAAAUAAAAAAAUAAAUAAAAAUAUGAUAAAAUAUUCACAGAAAACAAGACUGAAUCGGAUCAACGCAACACGGACAAAAAAUGUUCAACAUAUAAAUAUCAUACAGCACAAGAAUUCCAUUGAAGGAACUUUGUCAUGGAAAAAAAAAUAUAACAACACAGACUAACACAGUGGGGUAACAAUGAUGAGACAGAUUAAAUGCAGGCAGACAACAAACCUGGACAACACAAUGAUGAUAGCACUGACGAACACAGAAGAUUUCCAAUGAGAACAGUUGCGACGUUUCGGGAACUGACAUCUGUUCCCAUCAUCAGGCACAAUUUUUUAUUGUCAUAUUUUUAUUUAUUAUUUUCGGAAUUUUUCCAUGACAAACAGUGCAAAACUGCAAUGGCAUUUGUCCAAAAAACUGCAUUAAAUCUUUCUUAUUCUCUCUUAGCAAACCUUAUAAUACCUUCGACUCAAGAAUGGUACUUUCAAUACAGUAGUCUUAUUUAAAAUUAAAAAUAUUUUAUAACUUUGAUUAGGUAAUUUUGACAUUUUUAAAUAUUGUAUCUUAAAAGGUACUAAUCAUAUACAUACAUCAAUUUCUAAGAUACUUCCCAGAAUUUAACUCUGCUGUGGGCAUAUCAUUUUAUGUUAGGGUCAUCACUCAAUACUAUAAUUUGCAUACUGUAUGGAAAUAAGUGUGUGUGAUCUUCUUUAUUUCAUUCAGAAAUAGCAAAAGUGGGUUAAUUCUUUUUUUAAAUUAAAUAAAAAAAAGGCAUGGUAAUUCAAAAUUUUAAUUAGAAAAAGUUGGGUAAUUUUUAUUACCAAUUUGUGUGGUUGUCCUGUAAUUAGAAAAUUUAAACCACACAUUUUCAAUACACAUUUACAUUGACAAUUUUCUUUUGUGAUGCAAUAUAUAUUGUUUGUUUUCAGUGUAACUCAUCUUUUAUUGUUUUAAAACCAGUUGCACCUGUCACUUGAGCUGUUACAGUAAUUCACCAUAAAUUCAAAGUGCUUGAAUAUUUAAUAUAAUGCAGUACAGAAUUAUUCUGUAUGGUAGCUUAUGAAUCAUCAAGAAAUCAUUAUAUUAUACCUAUCUUCUAAAUGGCUAUUUAUCAAGUUUUAUUAAUAGUGUUGAUGGAAGUUCAAUGUGCCAUGACCUUGAGUGUACUGUAAGUGCUUACAGAUUAUGUAGUUGUAUAGGUUGUUAUUCCUUGAAACCUGAACUAAAAUAAAAUGUGUUAAGAGCUCAAAAAUAUGGCUCUGAUGUACUGUAUAGUAAAAGAUGUGAUAUAGUAAGGUUUUGUUGGUAAUAUUCUGUGAUAAACUCUUAUCAAAAUUUCAUAUGGUUUGAUCUAUUCUAGGAUCAUCCCAUAUAUUUUGUAAAUAAAUUUUAGCUUAUGCAAGUUACGCUAAAUGAAUGUCAUAACUUUGAACUUUUAUAGGAAAUGUUCUGCAUUUAUAAAAAAAUAAAUAUAUUGCCUUGAA